rnacentral:snRNA from 1 species
GGAUGUGAGGGCAAUCUGGCUGCGACAUCUGUCACCCUACUGAUCGGCAGGGUUGAUUCGGCUGAUUUGGCUGGCUAGGUGGGUGUCCCCUUCCUCCCUUACUGCUCCAUGUGUGUCCCUCCCAAAGCUGCAUGCUCGGUUGAAGAGGAUGACCUUCCCUGAUAGAGGAGGACCAUUUUUCAGUAAAGGGUAUACAAGUAGCUGCACUACCCUGUUAGAACCUCCAAACAAGCUCUCAAGAAUAGCCAUGGUCAUACAUAGAGCUAGUAAAUGUUGAUAACAUUUUUGAAGUGGAUUUUUAGCAA